rnacentral:tRNA from 1 species
CAGGGAGACAACAAAAUGUUUAAUAUUAUUAUUUUGUCACCUUAGGUCGAUCGGUAUCUCACAUCCUUAAAUUAAUUAAGGAUUUUAUUUCCUAAGUUUUUCUAGGUCACACCCAUUAUUUUUCCUGGGCCAUUAGCUCAGGUGGUUAGAGCGCACCCCUGAUAAGGGUGAGGUCCCUGGUUCAAGUCCAGGAUGGCCCAUAUCUCUAUGUUGGGGGUAUAGCUCAGUUGGUAGAGCGCCUGCUUUGCAAGCAGGAUGUCAGCGGUUCGAGUCCGCUUACCUCCACUGAUUACCACCUCUUCCAUAAUUUUAAGGAAAUGUUUUGAGUUGUGAUCAAAUUCUGAGCGAAUCUAGCUUCCUAAUGAAAUCAUUAAGAUGCUGGACUCAUUGAAUUAAAUUCAUUGUUUUCAGAGAACCUUGACAACUGCAUAGAUUAUUUUUAAAGACAAUAAGCAUCUUUAAUGAUGCAGAUUUAUUAUUUGUGCGAAUGCAUUAAUAACAAUUCUAUUAAGCUGAUGCUUCAAUUUUUGAAGUUAUU